rnacentral:misc_RNA from 1 species
UCCGGUUUGUCACCGGCAGUCUCAUUAGAGUGCCCAACUAAAUGUAGCAACUAAUGACAAGGGUUGCGAUCGUUGCGGGACUUAACCCAACAUCUCACGGCACGAGCUGACGACAGCCAUGCAGCACCUGUGUUCCAAUUCCCUUUCGGGCACAUCAGCCUUUCAGCCGACUCCUGGACAUGUCAAGGGUAGGUAAGGUUGUUCGCGUUGCAUCGAAUUAAUCCACAUGCUCCACCGCUUGUGCGGGCCCCCGUCAAUUCCUUUGAGUUUUAAUCUUGCGACCGUACUCCCCAGGCGGAAUGCUUAAAGCGUUAGCUGCGCCACUAGUGAGUAAACCCACUAACGGCUGGCAUUCAUCGUUUACGGCGUGGACUAC